rnacentral:rRNA from 1 species
UACGUAGGGGGCCAGCGUUGUCCGGAAUCAUUGGGCGUAAAGCGCGCGUAGGCGGCCAGAUAAGUCCGGUGUGAAAGUCAAAGGCUCAACCUUUGAAUGCCGCUGGAAACUGCCUGGCUUGAGUCCGGAAGGGGCGAGUGGAAUUCCUGGUGUAGCGGUGAAAUGCGCAGAUAUCAGGAAGAACACCCGUGGCGAAGGCGGUUCUCUGGGACGGUACUGACGCUGAGACGCGAAAGCGUGGGGAGCGAACAGG